rnacentral:rRNA from 1 species
UGAACGAGAAAGCUCUUCGGAGUGAGUAAAGUAGCAAACGGGUGAGUAACGCGUAAAAAUCUACCUUCGGGUUGAGGAUACCUACGGGAAACUGUAGUUAAUCCUGAAUAAGUUCCUUUACGGGAAGAAAGAUGGCCUCUCGCUAUCGCCGGAAGAUGAGUUUGCGUCCUAUUAGUUUGUUGGUGGGGUAAAGGCCUACCAAGACGAUUAUGGGUAGCCGGCCUGAGAGGGUGUACGGCCACAUUGGUACUGAGACACGGACCAGACUCC